CAGAUGUGUAUAAGAGACAGGUGAAUCAUCGAAUCUUUGAACGCACAUUGCGCCCGCUAGCAUUCUGGCGGGCAUGCCUGUCCGAGCGUCAUUUCAACCAUCAAGCCCCGGGCUUGUGUUGGGGUCCUGCGGCUGCCGCAGCCCCCUAAAAGCAGUGGCGGGCUCGCUGUCAUUCCGAGCGCAGUAGCGUAUCUCCGCUCCGGGCGUGGCGGCGGGCACCGGCCGUGAAAUUAUUUUCUUAGGUUGACCUCGGAUCAGGUAGGAAUACCCGCUGAACUUAAGCAUAUCAAUAAGCGGAGG
rnacentral:misc_RNA from 1 species